rnacentral:rRNA from 1 species
AACGAACGCUGGCGGCAUGCCUAACACAUGCAAGUCGAACGAUGCGUUCGGGCUUAGUGGCGCACGGGUGGUUAACGCGUGGUAAUCUGCACUUGGGUUCGGUAUCACAGUGAUAAAUUUCUGCUCAUACAAGUUGAUGUCUUCGGACCAAAGAUUUUUCGCCCCGGGAUGAGCCCGGGUAGGAUUAGCCAGUUGGUGGGGUACUAGCCUGCCAAGGCGAGGAUCCUUAGCUGGUCGGAUAGGAGGAUCAGCCACACUGGGACUGAGACACGGCCCAGACUCGUACGCGACGCAGCAGUGGAGAAUACUAUGCGCGGAGCGCAAGUCUGAUCCAGCAGUGCGGGGUGAGAGAGCAAGGGGUUAGGGUUGCACAGCUCUUUGACACGGGACGAGAAUGACAGUACCGGGAGAAUAAGCUCCGGCUAACUCCGUG